ACUACGGGAGGCAGCAGUGAGGAAUAUUGGUCAAUGGGCGCGAGCCUGAACCAGCCAAGUAGCGUGAAGGAUGACUGCCCUACGGGUUGUAAACUUCUUUUAUAAAGGAAUAAAGUGAGGCACGUGUGCCUUUUUGUAUGUACUUUAUGAAUAAGGAUCGGCUAACUCCGUGCCAGCAGCCGCGGUAAUACGGAGGAUCCGAGCGUUAUCCGGAUUUAUUGAGUUUAAAGGGAGCGUAGAUGGGUUGGUAAGUCAGUUGUGAAAGUUUGCGGCUCAACCGUAAAAUUGCAAUUGAUACUGGCAGUCUUGAGUACAGUUGAGGUAGGCGGAAUUCGUGGUGUAGCGGUGAAAUGCUUAGAUAACACGAAGAACUCCGAUUGCGAAGACAGCUUACUAAACUGCCACUGACAUUGAUGCUCGAAAGUGUGGGUAUCAAACAGGAUUAGAUACCCGAGUAGUC
rnacentral:rRNA from 1 species